rnacentral:rRNA from 1 species
AGCGAACGCUGGCGGCAGGCCUAACACAUGCAAGUCGAACGAAGUCUUCGGACUUAGUGGCGGACGGGUGAGUAACACGUGGGAACGUACCUUUUGGUUCGGAACAACUCAGGGAAACUUGAGCUAAUACCGGAUGAGCCCUUAGGGGGAAAGAUUUAUCGCCGAAAGAGCGGCCCGCGUUAGAUUAGCUAGUUGGUGAGGUAAAGGCUCACCAAGGCUACGAUCUAUAGCUGGUCUGAGAGGAUGAUCAGCCACACUGGGACUGAGACACGGCCCAGACUCCUACGGGAGGUAGCAGUGGGGAAUCUUGCGUAAUGGGCGAAAGCCUGACGCAGCCAUGCCGCGUGAAUGAUGAAGGUCUUAGGAUUGUAAAAUUCUUUUACCAGGGACGAUAAUGACGGUACCUGGAGAAAAAGCCCCGGCUAACUUCGUGCCAGCAGCCGCCGUAACAC